rnacentral:snRNA from 1 species
CCAUUAAAAGCAGAGAAUUAGCUGGAACUAUACAGAGAGGAUUAGCAUGGCCCCUGUACAAGAAUGACAUGCAAAUUUGUGAAGUGUUCCAUAAAAAA